rnacentral:rRNA from 1 species
UACGUAGGGUGCAAGCGUUAAUCGGAAUUACUGGGCGUAAAGCGUGCGCAGGCGGUUGUGCAAGACAGAUGUGAAAUCCCCGGGCUCAACCUGGGAACUGCAUUUGUGACUGCAAGGCUAGAAUCUGGCAGAGGGGGGUAGAAUUCCACGUGUAGCAGUGAAAUGCGUAGAGAUGUGGAGGAACACCGAUGGCGAAGGCAGCCCCCUGGGUCAAGAUUGACGCUCAUGCACGAAAGCGUGGGGAGCAAACAGG